AUUCCAGCUCCAAUAGCGUAUAUUAAAGUUGUUGCAGUUAAAAAGCUCGUAGUUGAACUUCUGAUAGUUGAUUUGGCUGGCUUCGGUCGCCUUGUUGGCUGUCAUCCGCUUGGGAAUUUCGUUCGGUCUUCAUUGAUUGGCGGGGGGAUCAAGCAUUUUACUUUGAAAAAAUUAGAGUGUUCAAGGCAGGCUAUCGCCAUGAAUACACAAGCAUGGAAUAAUGGAAUAGGACUCUCAGUCAUUUUAUUGGUUAUUGACUGAAAGUAAUGAUCAAUAGGGACAGUUGGGGGCAUUCGUAUUUAAUUGUCAGAGGUGAAAUUCUUGGAUUUAUUAAAGACGAACUUAUGCGAAAGCAUUUGCCAAGGAUGUUUUCAUUG
rnacentral:rRNA from 1 species